UACGGGGGGGGCAAGCGUUGUUCGGAAUUACUGGGCGUAAAGGGUUUGUAGGUGGCUUGCUAAGUCAGACGUGAAAUCCCUCAGCUUAACUGGGGAACUGCGUCUGAUACUGGCGAGCUUGAGUGCAGGAGAGGAACGCGGAAUUCCAGGUGUAGCGGUGAAAUGCGUAGAUAUCUGGAGGAACACCGGUGGCGAAGGCGGGUCUCUGGGCCGAUACUGACGCUGAGGAGCGAAAGCGUGGGGAGCGAACAGG
rnacentral:rRNA from 1 species